rnacentral:rRNA from 1 species
CGGCGGACGGGUGAGUAAUGUCUGGGAAACUGCCUGAUGGAGGGGGAUAACUACUGGAAACGGUGGCUAAUACCGCAUAACGUCUCAAGACCAAGGUGGGGGACCUUCGGGCCUCACGCCAUCGGAUGUGCCCAGAUGGGAUUAGCUAGUAAGUGGGGUAAUGGCUCACCUAGGCGACGAUCCCUAGCUGGUCUGAGAGGAUGACCAGCCACACUGGAACUGAGACACGGUCCAGACUCCUACGGGAGGCAGCAGUGGGGAAUAUUGCACAAUGGGCGCAAGCCUGAUGCAGCCAUGCCGCGUGUGUGAAGAAGGCCUUCGGGUUGUAAAGCACUUUCAGCCAGGAGGAAGGCAUCACACUUAAUACGUGUGGUGAUUGACGUUACUCGCAGAACAAGCACCGGCUAACUCCGUGCCAGCAGCCGCGGUAAUACGGAGGGUGCAAGCGUUAAAUCGGAAUUACUGGGCGUAAAGCGCACGCAGGCGGUUUGUUAAGUCAGAUGUGAAAUCCCCGCGCUUAACGUGGGAACUGCAUUUUGAAACUGGCAAG